rnacentral:lncRNA from 1 species
CCUCCUUGGACUGGGUGCAGACAGACUUGUUCUGAGUUGGCCUCUCUGCAGUUGUCCUUUGAAUGUUAAUCCCAGGCAGGGAGGACCAUGUGGCCCAGGAAUUAUAAGGAAAAGUCACUUAGGAGAAGAAUUUCCCUCCUUAGUGAAAGGAGACCAGUGCCUGAUGGAAGCUCUCUCUCUCUCACUCCCUGAACAGCCCACCCUCGUUGCCCAGUCACUAACUUACUUUGCACAUACACUUGGAAAAUAUGGUGUCUGGAGCUGCGGACUGUCCCGGGACCGUGAUGAAGAAGUUUACACUUCGUACUCCCAAUAGUCCAAUGCAUCAUCAUAGCCAUAGUUCCAGGAAACACUAAACCCCAGCUUCCUCCACAGAAUCAGGUCAGCAAAUAUUUAUUGAAUGCCCAGACUACAGGCUGAAGAUUGAUGUAAAGCAUGGCAAAGCCAGUCCUGCUCUGGAGGAAUUUGAAGCACGUGUUGACUGGAUCUUCUCCAAGAAACUCAACUCCACACUAGUGUCAUGAGCAUCACCUGAGACGAGAUAAAUUUUUCAGGAUACCUGAUGUGGUGCUUAAUAAACGAUGUUCUAUCACAAUAAGCAGAAUUCUUUGGUAUAUCAAACUGUUCCACAUCUCAUGGAUUUUUGUGUUCAGCCUUGCAGAUAUAGUGCAAAUAAAAAGAAUAAAAUGGUUAUUCUCAUUUACAA